rnacentral:rRNA from 1 species
GACGAACCGAGCGAACGUUGUUCGGAAUCACUGGGCUUAAAGGGCGCGUAGGCGGUUCGGUAAGUCGGGUGUGAAAACUCUGGGCUCAACCCAGAGCCGCCACCCGAUACUGCUGUGACUCGAGUGCGGUAGGGGAGCGGGGAAUUCCCGGUGUAGUGGUGAAAUGCGUAGAUAUCGUAAGGAAGACCAGUGGCGAAGGCGGGUCUCUGGACAAGUUCCUGACGCUGAGGCACGAAGGUCAGGGGGAGCAAACGGG